rnacentral:rRNA from 1 species
AUACGUAGGGUGCAAGCGUUAAUCGGAAUUACUGGGCGUAAAGCGUGCGCAGGCGGUUCGGAAAGAAGGAUGUGAAAUCCCAGGGCUCAACCUUGGAACUGCAUUCUUAACUAACGGACUAGAGUAUGUCAGAGGGGGGUAGAAUUCCGCGUGGAGCAGUGAAAUGCGUAGAUAUGCGGAGGAAUACCGAUGGCGAAGGCAGCCCCCUGGGAUAAUACUGACGCUCAUGCACGAAAGCGUGGGUAGCAAACAGGAUUAGAUACCCUGGUAGUCCACGCCCUAAACGAUGUCAACUAGCUGUUGGGCCCUUCGGGGCUUAGUAGCGUAGCUAACGCGUGAAGUUGACCGCCUGGGGAGUACGGUCGCGAGAUUAAAACUCAAAUGAAUUGACGGGG